rnacentral:rRNA from 1 species
CUAUACAUGCAAGUCGAGCGAAUCGAUGGGAGCUUGCUCCCUGAGAUUAGCGGCGGACGGGUGAGUAACACGUGGGCAACCUGCCUAUAAGACUGGGAUAACUUCGGGAAACCGGAGCUAAUACCGGAUACGUUCUUCUCUCGCAUGAGAGAAGAUGGAAAGACGGUUUACGCUGUCACUUAUAGAUGGGCCCGCGGCGCAUUAGCUAGUUGGUGAGGUAAUGGCUCACCAAGGCGACGAUGCGUAGCCGACCUGAGAGGGUGAUCGGCCACACUGGGACUGAGACACGGCCCAGACUCCUACGGGAGGCAGCAGUAGGGAAUCUUCCGCAAUGGACGAAAGUCUGACGGAGCAACGCCGCGUGAACGAAGAAGGCCUUCGGGUCGUAAAGUUCUGUUGUUAGGGAAGAACAAGUACCAGAGUAACUGCUGGUACCUUGACGGUACCUAACCAGAAAGCCACGGCUAACUACGUGCCAGCAGCGGCCCGGGUAAUAAA